GAGAGAGGUGUGCCCUUUAUCUUGGGCAAGAACCAUUGCAGCCACCCUAUUGAUAGAUAGCUGGUGGGCUGGCAGGGAUGUCCAGAGGUGGCUGGUGGAGGAAUGGUGCUGAGCCUGUGCAAGCCAGGCCAGGGGUGCUGGGGAUGGAGGGGUCCUGGUGAGGAAACUGGGCGGUGAGCCUGAAGUCCCUGCAGUCACAUCAUGUCAGGAGCUGAACUGGGACUGGAAUUUCCUGCCCUGGAGCUUUCUGCUACCAGGCAAAUGAAGCAAUGGCUUUUGGAUGUACAUUUGACACUUCAGUGAAUAUUUCAGAAAAUCACUAAAAUGUAA